CAAAGCAUAAAUUAAAAAAAUACCAACAUAUCAUGCAAACUCCUACAACACAUUGAGCUAAACUAUAAUAAUAGUAGAACCAAUGCUAAAACUAGUAACAAGAACACAUCUCUACGGCACACCCAUGACCCAGUAAUAGAAAACCUACUGACAAUUAACAGACCCCAAUAGGCAUAACAUAUAGCCGUUAAACACACUGUCAAUCCGACACCGGUGUGCCACAAAGAAAGAUAAAAAGCUGUAGAAGGAACUCAGCAAAACUUGUCCCAACUGUUUACCAAAAACAUAGCCUUUAGCAACCCAAGUAUUAAAGGUCCUGCCUGCCCAGUGAAACUUGUUUUAACGGCCGCGGUAUUCUAACCGUGCAAAGGUAGCGUAAUCACUUGUCUUCUAAAUAGAGACCAGUAUGAAUGGCUAAAUGAGGACAAACCUGUCUCCUACACCCUAUCAGUGAAACUGAUCCCCCUGUCCAAAAGCAGGGAUACCAACACAAGACGAGAAGACCCUGUGGAGCUUUAAACACCCUACUAAGAAACACACAUGAUAACUAGUAGAAGUUUUAAGUUGGGGCGACUUCGGAACAAAACACAACUUCCGAGCACAGAACCACAACUUCUAACUUAGGCCAACAAGCCUAAGCAAAACACGACCCAGUAACACUGAUCAACGAACCAAGUUACCCCAGGGAUAACAGCGCCAUCUUCUUCAAGAGUCCAUAUCGACAAGAAGGUUUACGACCUCGAUGUUGGAUCAGGACACCCUAAUGGUGCAGCCGCUAUUAACGGUUCGUUUGUUCAACGAUUAACAGU
rnacentral:rRNA from 1 species